GGAAGAAAGGAAUCUAUUUUUCACUAUCUUCCUGGCAGCAGACAGAGAGACAUUCAAGUUUUCUUCCUGUUUGUAUGCACAGUAAAAAAAUAAAAUCAAGCUAUGAUUGGAAGGGUUCAAGCCAGGUUCCCCUUGUAUUUCUGAAUAUCAUGAACAUCCAAGUUCAAAAAUAGACAGGAAAAAAGGAACUUGAAUGGAAGAAAAAAAAACAUCAGUAGCUCAUGACCACAAAUCAGGGUAGUAGCAUUGAUAAUGUCAAAAGUGCUAAUAAAAUCCAUUAAAAGUAACUGCUGCCAAGUCUUCCCCACAAUGGGAUCCUUCUGGGGCUAUGUUCCAGGCUUUUUUCCUAAUUGACAGUACAAUAAAGGAAGUUGCCUUUUGACUUUGUUAGUAAGAGGAAGGGAUUAAGCAUUUUGCUUGUAAAAACCUUUUCCAGAGCUGAGCAUUUAGUAGAGAUACUCAACAGCUUACAACCCACAUAAAAUCCCUGCAACAUGUAUCAGAGAAGUGAAGGAUAGAACAGAAUCAGCAGGAAAUCCAGUAGCUAGUAGGAGGUCUCACCCAUUCGCAUGCUCAAACUGACAAUUUCCUGUCUAAUGAGAAUAUGAGGAACUCUGCAGUCACAUUUUAUGUGCUAUUGAGAGUGAAUGAACAAUUUCAUCAAUAUGGGAAAUUCCUUCUUUAUAAACUCCAUUUGCUGCUGCAGAAAGAACAAAAAAAAAAGUGAUUUAGUGGGGUGUCAUGGAUGCUGUCUGAGAGCCAAAACUGUUACCCAUUUCAGGAUUCUACAAUAUCCUACAUUUAAACUAUGCUGAUCUAAGAUGUACACAUGGCUCCUCAUGGUUUCUGCUGCUCAAGAAUUAAGUCUUCUAAUUAUUUCUGUGGUUGCUGCAGAGGAGUUUGAUUUUCAGCUUCCUGAUCUCACAUUGCCAGAUUCUAAUAUAUCAACUAUUCUUAAAUAUAUUUGUUUAUGUUGAGGUAUUUAGUCUUAGAUACAUAUAAAUUAAUUCACAGCAUUCUUUUCAAAGUCAUUGAAAUAAGAAAAAGAACAUUUUAAAUGUAGGAAAUAAUUCUUUCUGGACUAUUGCUUGGAAUAUUCUAAAUUUUAGUUAUUUUGUAGAAAAACAUGAAAUGUAAGUAUCACUGUAUUUAAAAAGCUCUGUAAUCCCCUUUAGUGCCAUUUAUGCACUCUCCUAUUAGUGUUUUUUAGGCUCUAAUUUUGUUCUGACAAAGAGUUCUAGAUACUAGUUACCUGACAAUUAGUUGCUUUGGGGAAAAAAAAAAAUUAACCCUUCUGUGAAUGUGAAGCCUCUACCCAACCCCAUUUUUCUUUAAUAAUUCAGAAAUAUUUCAUAUCUAUUCUGUUCUGAUUCAAACUUUUGACUUUAUUCAAAGCUGGAUGACUAAGCUGUAUAUACUUCUCUGUUAUGAGUCUGUGCUUUUCUGACACACUGAGUUAAAUUGUACACCGUAUAUUUGUACACUAAGGCCCAGUGGCACACUCUUGGCCUGAGUCCAGUAAAGGAUCUGCUACAGUAUGUCUGUUAAAACAACUUAUUCUUAUGAUCUAAUUGGUCUAAGAGUACUUGUAGGUGUCUAAGACUCUUCAGAUCAUCACUGCUUACUUGCAAAAAUAGAAUUGGGUAUAG
rnacentral:lncRNA from 1 species